rnacentral:tRNA from 1 species
UGCAUUAUAAGUGUUCAUCAUCAUCCGGCCUGUCACGCCGGAGGUCGCGGGUUCGAGCCCCGUCACUCCCGCCA